UAUAAACACAGUUCGCGAAUGGGUGACUCCGCGCCUGGGUGAGCGGCCUCCUUUUUCAUCUACUUACCUCUUAUCCUGCGCCGUUCACGCACCAUAUGCCUUGGCGGCGCGGUGGAGCUCCCCGGCCGACGGUUGUUGGCCGGAUGUUGAUCCUAUAAUUUAUCCACCAUCUCGAUCCGAUCUCACCAAGAUAGCUUUGCUCGAGCUCAAAGUUGCCGAAUUAGCGUGAUUUGACCUUCCGAUCGAGUUUGACGCGGUGCUGAGUAGUGCCAGAUCGGUCUCCCUCGUAAGGAUUGGAUGAAUCGAGAUUAGGGAGAGAAAAAAGGAGGGAUCUUUUCAUCUUGGGUAGCCUUGCGGAGAUGGAGGUUGGUGCGGUUUUGGAUCUGCAACCCUGCUCUUGGGUCGGUUCGGAGGCUAAAGGACGGAGAAGUAGUGGAGGUUCUUGGAGGUUUCAGGACCCAUACAGAGAGGAGCGAAGGUCUUCUAUGGUUAGAUUUUGUAAUCGGAGGGAUAACAGAGCCUCUGUUCGAUCUGGCCACGUCGAGCUCAAGGUUUCUUGUUGCUAUAAGAAGCCCCAAGAUCAUUUCAGUCAAAGAGGCACAGAGACCUACCACAAGUCAAUUGAUGAAGCUCUCUUACUUAAGAGGAAAUCAGAAGAAGUUCUCCCUUACUUGAAUGAGCGUUGUAUAUAUCUAGUUGGAAUGAUGGGUUCAGGUAAGACUACAAUAGGAAAGAUCUUAUCCGAAGUUCUACGUUAUUCAUUCUUUGACAGUGACAAAUUGGUCGAACAAACAGUUGGUGUAUCUUCAGUUGCCCAGAUAUUUAAGCAGUACAGUGAAGCCUUCUUCAGGGACAAUGAGAGUGAGGUCCUGAAGGAUUUAUCUUCAAUGAGUCGUUUGGUAGUUGCAACUGGUGGUGGAGCGGUUAUUCGUCCUAUUAACUGGAAAUUUAUGAAGCAUGGGAUAUCCGUCUGGCUAGAUGUUCCUCUAGAAGCUCUCGCUAGGCGGAUUGCUGAUGUAGGUACUGAUUCUCGCCCUCUUCUGCAUUAUGAACCUGGUGAUCCUUACUCCAAGGCCUUAGCAAAGCUUACUUCUCUAUUUGAAGAAAGGGGCGAGGCAUAUGCGAAUGCCGAUGCAAGAGUCUCCCUUGGAGGUAAGCCUUCAUGCAGCUGUUAUGCUUCUUGUUUUCUAUUUGUUGCAACGUUUUGUUGCAAGUAUUACGCAUCUAUUAGUUUCCUUGCACUGAAAAAUUUGAGUUUCUUUUGUUCAUCUUCGUUAGGUUGCAGGAUUUGUGUUAGGUAUUCUCUCACUUACUCAAGACUACAAUAACCUCAGACUAUUUUCUUCAAUUUGAAUGCGACAGUCAUUAUGUUAAAGAUCUAAAUAUUUUAAUGACAUUACAUGGCAUAGAGUUGAAUGAUGGAAAAAGAUGGAUGCUACCUAACCAAAAUAGUUGUUGCUAACACGCCUUGUUAUUGUAGUGUUGUCAUUUCAAAGAUUGAAAUUUUGUGCUGAAAUUUCAAUCCUUGAAAUGAAAACACUAAAUAAUACGCGUGUUAGUGUCAACUAUUUGGGUCAGGCUUCUUGCAUAUUUUCCCAUCAUUCCAACAAAAAUCCAAGACAUGAAACUUAACACAGGGACACAUAUCUCAGUCACUUCUUUGUUUAUUGGCGCACCUGCAUGAAACUAGUACUGAUUUAUUUCUGCCAGUGAUUUAAACUCCUGCUUGGAGCGAGAGUUUAACCCUUAUUGUCAUUCACAAUCCAAUAACAUUAUAAAUACUCGUAGCAGAGUCAUAAUUCAAAGGAAUAAUUUUUUUUCUUCACCCAUUUUGCAGAGAUGGCAGCUAAAAAGGGGCAUGGAGAUGUCUCAACACUUACACCAACCGAUAUUGCUUUUGAGGCACUAUUGCAGAUUGAGAACUAUGUUAUGGACAAUGCAUAUGCUUCAAGUAGCCGCAAUAAUUUCACAGGCGCACGAAGAGAUUAGUUGAGACUCAUGUUUCACCAUGGAAAAGUUAUAAUUCUUGAAACUUGUUUUCUCAGUACAUGAUUUUUAUUCAUUCAAAAACAUCCUCGGUCAAAUCUCUAAGUGCUGUAUAGUCUCAAAUAAAAACCUUGUAGUCCAAAUCUCUAAAUUUGAAAAUAAGCUUGUCCUUUUACUUUCAAA